rnacentral:rRNA from 1 species
UGCGCAGGUGGUUGUGUAAGUCAGAGGUGAAAUCCCCGGGCUCAACCUGGGAACUGCCUUUGAGACUGCACGGCUAGAGGAUAGCAGAGGGGGGUGGGAAUUCCACGUGUAGCAGUGAAAUGCGUAGAGAUGUGGAGGAAUACCGAUGGCGAAGGCAGCCCCCUCGGGAUAACACUGACGUUCAUGCUGAAAGCUGGGUAGCAAACA